GUGCGACCCACAUGGGCAGGCGGCCCAGGUGGGCAUGUGGUCCAGGCGAGCGCAUGGCCCAGCCGGGCGCGCGGCCCAAGCGUGCGCAGGCUUGCGCGUGGGAGUGGGUCGGCCCAGGCCCAGCGGCCUGCUGGCCCUUUGCCUCGGUCCAUCGUGGAUCGGGCGGUCCACAACUGGGCCUGUGGACCACACAGGCAUUUCUCAUGCAUUUUGCAUGGUCCACGGCACUAUUCC
rnacentral:lncRNA from 1 species